UAUUGGUUCUUGCACAUUUUUAGUGUUAGUUUAAGUAAGAUUAGGCUAUAGCAGGACUUUGCACAAUUCUUGGCACAUUAGAUACAGUCUAAACAACAGGCUAUACAAAAAUGUCUGACCACUUGUAUUCUAUCCUAUUCUGCUUAAGUCAUCGACUUCAAAGUGGAUGCGUAAUACUAUAAUUAGGCUUAGUCUGCACGUUUGCCGGACUGUUGAC